GGUGGUGUCUGCACGAGCGCACCCCUACUUUUAGUUGCUAACAUUAAGUUGAGCACUCUAAAGGGACUGCUAAGGUUAACUUAGAGGAAGGUGGGGAUGACGUCAAAUCAUCAUGCCCUUUAUGCCUUGGGCAACACACGUGCUACAAUGGUCGGUACAAAGAGAAGCAAUACCGCGAGGAGGAGCAAAUCUUAAAAACCGAUCCCAGUUCGGAUUGCAGGCUGCAACUCGCCUGCAUGAAGCCGGAGUUGCUAGUAAUCGUGAAUCAGCAUGUCGCGGUGAAUAC
rnacentral:rRNA from 1 species